UAAAGACUCUCGCCAACGGAUAUCUCGACUCUAGCAUCGAUGAAUAAUGUAUGGAAAUGCGUUACUUGGUGUGAAUUGCAAAUUCCCGCACAUCAGUUAGUCCUUGAGCCCAUCUGCCGACCGAACCCCUUCGGGCGAGGGCACGUCUGCCUGGGUGUCCG
rnacentral:rRNA from 1 species